rnacentral:rRNA from 1 species
AGAACGAACGCUGGCGGCAUGCCUAAUACAUGCAAGUCGAACGAACUCUUCGGAGUUAGUGGCGCACGGGUGCGUAACGCGUGGGAAUCUGCCCUUGGGUUCGGAAUAACAGUUGGAAACGACUGCUAAUACCGGAUGAUGACGAAAGUCCAAAGAUUUAUCGCCCAGGGAUGAGCCCGCGUAGGAUUAGCUAGUUGGUGAGGUAAAGGCUCACCAAGGCGACGAUCUUUAGCUGGUCUGAGAGGAUGAUCAGCCACACUGGGACUGAGACACGGCCCAGACUCCUACGGGAGCAGCAGUAGGGAAUAUUGGACAAUGGGCGAAAGCCUGAUCCAGCAAUGCCGCGUGAGUGAUGAAGGCCUUAGGUUGUAAAGCUCUUUUACCGAGAUGAUAAUGACAGUAUCGGAAGAAUAACGCCCGGCUAACGUCCGU